rnacentral:lncRNA from 1 species
AUGGUUUCUUCUUUGAAUUUCAAGCGUAAUAGGAUGGCCACUGGCCGCAGCAGAAUCCCCAGCAACUCCAUCCCUCAAGCUUUGUGUCCCGAUCCCAUCAUCAACCUCGCACAAAUGGCUGCGAUCAAGGCCAGAGAGGCUGCAGAAGCAUACUUCACGCUUCGACAUUUCGACCAUGCGAUCAUGCAGGCAAGGGCAGCCAAAGAGUUGUAUCCAGAGUUCCCUGGUAUGUACAACUACAUGGCUGCAUACCAAAUUCAUUCUGACGUAUCACACAAGAAAAACUGGUACCAUGUUCUUGGCAUCCCCAACCCUAGUGUUGCCGACUCGGAAGCCAUCAAGAAACAAUACAAGAGAUUGGCACUUGCCUUGCACCCUGACAAGAACGGAUCUAUUGCUGCCGAUGGUGCUUUCAAGUAUGUUAAAGCAGCCUGGGAUGUUCUCUCCGACCGUGCGAAAAGAGAGGCUUACGACAAGUCUUUAAGUCCGAGGUCUCAAGGGGCUCGUGGUUCCAAUAACAGCAAACCAGCGCAGCAGCAGAGGUCGAAUGCGUGUUCUCGCAAAAGGGCCGGCCCUGAUGCUAAUUCUACCGGAGGAGAUGGGAGUUUCUACAAGAAAACCAUUAAGAUUGUAAGAAAAUCAAAUCCGGGCCAAAGGGCGACUGUUGUGAUGUUAUCAGUAUGCCGGGUGGCUUAA